rnacentral:tRNA from 1 species
CGGGGUGUGGCGCAGUUGGUAGCGUGCUUGACUGGGGGUCAAGAGGCCGGGAGUUCGAGUCUCCCCACUCCGA